AGCAACUCAGAGACAACACCCCUCCUUCCGGAGAGACAGAAGGAGAAGGUAACUCAGCUCCAAAAGCUGGAGGAUCACUGAAACAAAAAUGAGUGAAACAGGGAAGGUGACCUGGCUGUUUUUGAUCCUCUAUCAAUGUGUCUCCAAAGCCACCACCUCUCAGAACUGUCCCAGACUAGCUGAGACGUGCCGAGUGUCAUUUUCCACGCUAAAGUGUCCGACGGCAAGAACCCAGCGGCAAAGCAACGCCUCAUUUACGACUCAAUUAUUGUCAACAAAGGAUCAGCUUACAACCCCUUGACUGGGGUUUUCACUGCCCCGGUGGCCGGCACCUAUCACUUCACUUACUCACUGCUCGGGGGAUCGCAAGCAGAAGAUACUG